AAACCAAGAAGAUUGAGUUAUGCCUUUUCGGUAAAAAGACAGUUAGGCAGCAUGAAAAGUUCAUUAAAUUGUUAUUAAGAAGUAAAAUUCACAGAUGAUUUAGAGAAUUAAUCUAAACUAAAAAGCUGAAGCUGUGACAUCUUUGAGGGAAACUGGGAUUAGAUACCCCAUUAUUCUUGGAAGUAAAAAUAAACCUACCAGAGUACUAUGAAUAAAUGACAUUUAAAACUCAAAGAGCUUGGCGGUGUUUUAGACUCUUUAGGGGAACCUGUCUCAUAAUCGACAAUCCACGUAAGACCUGACCUUUAUUUGCUCUCAGUUUGUAUACCGUCGUCGUCAGGUAACUUUUUAGAAAAAAGAAGUUAGCGAAAGAAUCAUAAUAAAUUCUUACGUCAGAUCAAGGUGCAGCCAAUGUAAUGGGGAGGAUGGGUUACAAUUAUAAAAAUUAUAAUUUACCAAAUAGAAAUUUUAAAUAGUAUCUAUGAAGGAGGACUUAAAAGUAAAAUAAAAUAUAUAAGCGUAUUGAAUCGAGCUCUGAAACGUGC
rnacentral:rRNA from 1 species